rnacentral:rRNA from 1 species
GACGAACGCUGGCGGCGUGCUUAACACAUGCAAGUCGAACGGAAAGGCACUGCUUUUGUGGGGUGCUCGAGUGGCGAACGGGUGAGUAACACGUGAGUAACCUGCCCUUGACUUUGGGAUAACUUCAGGAAACUGGGGCUAAUACCGGAUAGGAGCUCCUGCUGCAUGGUGGGGGUUGGAAAGUUUCGGCGGUUGGGGAUGGACUCGCGGCUUAUCAGCUUGUUGGUGGGGUAGUGGCUUACCAAGGCUUUGACGGGUAGCCGGCCUGAGAGGGUGACCGGACACAUUGGGACUGAGAUACGGCCCAGACUCCUACGGGAGGCAGCAGUGGGGAAUAUUGCACAAUGGGCGGAAGCCUGAUGCAGCAACGCCGCGUGCGGGAUGACGGCCUUCGGGUUGUAAACCGCUUUCGCCUGUGACGAAGCGUGAGUGACGGUAAUGGGUAAAGAAGCACCGGCUAACUACGUG